AAGUUUAAUGUGGCUCAGGACGAACGCUGGCGGCGUGCUUAACACAUGCAAGUCGAACGCUGAAGCCCCAGCUUGCUGGGGUGGAUGAGUGGCGAACGGGUGAGUAACACGUGAGUAACCUGCCCCUGACUCUGGGAUAAGCGCUGGAAACGGUGUCUAAUACUGGAUAUGACCUAUCACCGCAUGGUGUGUGGGUGGAAAGAUUUAUCGGUUGGGGAUGGACUCGCGGCCUAUCAGCUUGAUGGUGAGGUAAUGGCUCACCAUGGCGACGACGGGUAGCCGGCCUGAGAGGGUGACCGGCCACACUGGGACUGAGACACGGCCCAGACUCCUACGGGAGGCAGCAGUGGGGAAUAUUGCACAAUGGGCGCAAGCCUGAUGCAGCAACGCCGCGUGAGGGAUGACGGCCUUCGGGUUGUAAACCUCUUUUAGUAGGGAAGAAGCGUAAGUGACGGUACCUGCAGAAAAAGCACCGGCUAACUACGUGCCAGCAGCCGCGGUAAUACGUAGGGUGCAAGCGUUGUCCGGAAUUAUUGGGCGUAAAGAGCUCGUAGGCGGCUUGUCGCGUCUGCUGUGAAAUCCCGGAGCUCAACUCCGGGCCUGCAGUGGGUACGGGCAGGCUAGAGUGCGGUAGGGGAGAUUGGAAUUCCUGGUGUAGCGGUGGAAUGCGCAGAUAUCAGAAGGAACACCGAUGGCGAAGGCAGAUCUCUGGGCCGUAACUGACGCUGAGGAGCGAAAGCAUGGGGAGCGAACAGGAUUAGAUACCCUGGUAGUCCAUGCCGUAAACGUUGGGAACUAGAUGUAGGGCCUGUUCCACGGGUUCUGUGUCGUAGCUAACGCAUUAAGUUCCCCGCCUGGGGAGUACGGCCGCAAGGCUAAAACUCAAAGGAAUUGACGGGGGCCCGCACAAGCGGCGGAGCAUGCGGAUUAAUUCGAUGCAACGCGAAGAACCUUACCAAGGCUUGACAUAUACGAGAACGGGUCAGAAAUGAUCAACUCUUUGGACACUCGUAUACAGGUGGUGCAUGGUUGUCGUCAGCUCGUGUCGUGAGAUGUUCGGUUAAGUCCGGCAACGAGCGCAACCCUCGUCCUAUGUUGCCAGCACGUGAUGGUGGGAACUCAUGGGAUACUGCCGUGGUCAACACGGAGGAAGGUGGGGAUGACGUCAAAUCAUCAUGCCCCUUAUGUCUUGGGCUUCACGCAUGCUACAAUGGCCGGUACAAUGGGCUGCGAUACCGCAAGGUGGAGCGAAUCCCAAAAAGCCGGUCUCAGUUCGGAUUGGGGUCUGCAACUCGACCCCAUGAAGUCGGAGUCGCUAGUAAUCGCAGAUCAGCAACGCUGCGGUGAAUACGUUCCCGGGCCUUGUACACACCGCCCGUCAAGUCAUGAAAGUCGGUAACACCCGAAGCCGAUGGCCUAACCCGCAAGGGAGGGAGUCGUCGAAGGUGGGACUGGGAUA
rnacentral:rRNA from 1 species